GUACCAGCAGAGACUCGACCCUUCCCAUUAAAAGCGGGGAUAAAUGACUGGCAGAAAACACCAAGCAGAGGCAGCUCUGGACAUUGCAAGGUCCUGCCUACCCUGCCAUCCUGAGGGCGCUGCCCUUCCCCUAGCCCAGCAAAGCCCACAGGAAUGCUGCCAUCCCCCACAGCAGCCCACUGCCCAUGGCAGGGAUUCCGGGACAACACUCACCCACGGAAUUCAGAUAAUGCUCAUAAGAAAGAGCAAGUGCUGAAGUUAAUGGGAGACAAUGAAUGGAAAUGGCACUUAACAUCAACUAUUUCAGCAUGCAACAAGGGAAGACUGUUUAAUUAAGAAGGUGCUUAUUAUUCUAAGUUAAAAUUUAUUACUGGACAAGACAUAAAUGGACUUAUGUUGCCAACACACUCUUACAUCCUAUAGUUGCGUUUUGAUCUUUCUAACAAGCUUCUGAACAUACAUUGUAAAGUUAAUUAAACACCAAGUACACAGUUUUUCAUUCUGUUUUUUUUCUGUAACAUUUCAAUUAAAGACUGUCUUGGGCAUUUUAAAAUCA